rnacentral:ncRNA from 1 species
UAUAAGGUUGAUUCUGUCUUUUUUAAUUAGUUAAUUGAUAAUAUUAAAUAUAAGUAUUUAGCGUGUUAUUAUUUAUCUAAAAGAUAAUAUAUUUUAUUUGUAGUUUUUAAUUUUAAAUAUUUACAUAGUUGUGGAAUUAGUUAAUUUAUUUAGGACUGUUGAAAGUUGUGCCAGCAAACGCGGUUAUACAUCUAGUUCAAAUUAAUUUUUUUGGCUAUUAUUAAUUUUUAUUUUUUGGGGCUUGAUUUUGUUUUAUAAGGUGAAAUUUUUAAGUCAGAUUAUAUAUCCCUGGUUUGAGAUUAUAAGAAUUUUAGGAAUUAAACUAGGAUUAGAUACCCUAUUAUUCUAAAUGUAAAUUUUUGGCCAUAAAAUUAAUAGAUAAGAUCUUUAAAUUAAAAGGAUUUGGCGGUAAUUUAGUCUUUUCAGAGGAACCUGUCCUGUAAUCGAUGAUCCACGUUGGAUUUAACUUUGAUUAUUUGUUUAUAUAUCUCUGUCAUUGAAUGUUUUAUUAGAAAAUUUUCUUUAAUUAUUAAUUUAUUUAAUGUCAGGUCAAGGUGUAGCUAUAUUAAAGGUUGAGAUGGGUUACAUUUAAUGAUAUUUAUUGGAAUAGUAUAAUUGUAUAAUAUAUUAUGAAAUUGGAUUUGAAAGUAAUUAUUAUUAUUUUAUUAUAAUGAUUUUAGCUCUAGAUUAUGCACACAUCGCCCGUCGCUUUCAUUUAUAAGGUGAAAUAAGUCGUAACAAAGUAAUUUUACUGGAAAGUGAAGUUAGAUUUAU